rnacentral:rRNA from 1 species
CAGUCGCCACGGGAAUACAGAGGAUGCAAGCGUUAUCCGGAAUGAUUGGGCGUAAAGCGCUCGCAGGCGGCUUCUUAAGUCUGAUGUGAAAGCCCCCGGCUCAACCGGGGAGGGUCAUUGGAAACUGGGAAACUUGAGUGCAGAAGAGGAGAGUGGAAUUCCACGUGUAGCGGUGAAAUGCGUAGAGAUGUGGAGGAACACCAGUGGCGAAGGCGACUCUCUGGUCUGUAACUGACGCUGAGGAGCGAAAGCGUGGGGAGCGAACAGGAUUAGAUACCCGUGUAGUCCCUGUCUCUUAUAA